UACGUAGGGGGCAAGCGUUGUCCGGAAUCAUUGGGCGUAAAGAGCGUGUAGGCGGUUCGGUAAGUCGGCUGUGAAAGUCCAGGGCUCAACCCUGGGAUGCCGGUCGAUACUGCCGGACUAGAGUUCGGAAGAGGCGAGUGGAAUUCCCGGUGUAGCGGUGAAAUGCGCAGAUAUCGGGAGGAACACCUAUGGCGAAGGCGGCCUACUGGGUCGCAC
rnacentral:rRNA from 1 species